rnacentral:rRNA from 1 species
AACGAACGCUGGCGGCAUGCCUAACACAUGCAAGUCGAACGAGACCUUCGGGUCUAGUGGCGCACGGGUGCGUAACGCGUGGGAACCUGCCCUUAGGUUCGGAAUAACUCCCCGAAAGGGGUGCUAAUACCGGAUAAUGUCUUCGGACCAAAGAUUUAUCGCCUUUGGAUGGGCCCGCGUUGGAUUAGCUAGUUGGUAGGGUAAAAGCCUACCACGGCGAAGAUCCAUAGCUGGUCUGAGAGGGUGAUCAGCCACACUGGAACUGAGACACGGCCCAGACGCAUAAGGGAGGCAGCAGUAGGGAAGCUGCGGCAAUGGGCGAAAGCCGGACGGAGCAACGACGCGUGAGUGAUGAAGGUCUUCGGAUCGUAAAACUAUGUUAGUAGGGAAGAAAAUAUGUGUAAGGACCUGUGCAAAUAUUGACGGUACCUAAUCAGAAAGCCACGGCUAACUAAGUG